AUCUAUCAAUACCAACACCAACGUGAACUAUUUUGUCGGUCUGCCGGCUGGGAUUCGGUUCCCAGGCGGUGCAGCUCGGGCCUUUCCGCUUCGCGGGGGGUUCGGGCUGGGUUCGCCCCGGCUUCAAACACCGGGACGGGCUGGCCCCUUUAACAAACCCACAUUAACACCAAACCAAAACCUUUACAUAACUUAUCAGUGCGGCAGGCCUAGCCUACGCAUCUUAACAGAGACAACUCUCAACAACGGAUAUCUUGGCUCUCGCAACGAUGAAGAACGCAGCGAAAUGCGAUACGUAGUGUGAAUUGCAGAAUUCCGUGAACCAUCGAAUCUUUGAACGCAUAUUGCGCUCGAGGCUUUUGCCGAGAGCAUGUCUGCCUCAGCGUCGGGUUUAUAUCGCUCCCCUCUCACAUGUAAACAGUGUGGGAGGCCAGGAGCGGACCUGGCCGUUCCAGUUAGGCGCUUUGGCCUCGUGCCGAGCAAGUCCCUGGAUCGGCUGAAGAGCAGAGCGCUAAUCGAGGACCCGCUUAACGGGCCGCAACUGGGUGGGCAAUCUAACAAGUUGCUAAGCUUUAGUUGUUGGCCUGGGACCUCUUUACAAGCCCUCAAAACAGGAACCCCUAACUUAUAUCCUCGACCUGAGCUCAGGCAAG
rnacentral:misc_RNA from 1 species